rnacentral:misc_RNA from 1 species
CAUACAAAGGAAAAGAAAAUCGAAACAGAAGACCAGGAAAAUAUGGUUCUCUCGUCUGUAGAAAAAUUGUUGAGCUAUCAAUUGUAAAUAUUACCUGUUUCCUAUUUCGCACCGAUUGAAAGUGGAUGUGCAGCGAAAGCGUGUGUUGUGUCGAAAACCGAGCGUGGAACGUACAGUGAAUACCUGAUUUUGCCUGGGUGUGAAUCGAAUUCGUGUGAGAGAGCGUGCGAUCUGAGAUCUGUGAUCAGAAAUCUAUAUCUACUUGCCAUACGCAGAGUCAGAAAUUCAAGCCAGCAUCUAAUCCCUAUUAAUAGACCUCCUAGGAGAUGGAUUUCGUUCAAGUGUCGGAGGAGGAGGGUGACGAGCCCAUCGAGCUGCCGGCUGAGGAGGAUGGCACUCUGCUGCUGUCCACCCUGCAGGCGCAAUUCCCUGGAUCUUGCGGUCUGAAGUAUCGCAACCUGGACACAAAGGCGGUGCGCGGAGUUCGCUCCAACGAGGGCAGACUGUUUCCGCCCAGCGUGGAAUCCGGUUGGGGGGAGUACUUGUACUUUUGUGUCUUUCCCAAGGAGAAUAAGCGCAAGAGCGACGAUAACUUGGAGAACUCAACAGCCAAGACCAAACGCAUUGAGACCCGUCUCCGCUGCACUGAUCUUAUCGUGCUCGGCUUGCCCUGGAAGACGACAGAGGAGAGUUUGCGUGAGUACUUCGAGACGUACGGCGAGGUGCUGAUGGCCCAAAUCAAGAAGGACACCAAGUCGGGUCAGUCCAAGGGCUUCGGGUUUGUGCGCUUUGGCUCUUAUGAUGCCCAAAUGCGCGUGCUCUCCAAUCGUCACCUCAUCGACGGUCGCUGGUGCGAAGUUAAGGUGCCCAACUCAAAGGGCAUGGGCCACCAGGUGCCUUGUAAGGUAUUCGUGGGUCGCUGCACCGAGGACAUAAACUCGGACGACCUGCGCGAGUAUUUCUCCAAAUUUGGCGAAGUCACCGACGUGUUCAUUCCGCGACCCUUCAGAGCUUUCAGCUUUGUAACCUUCCUCGAUCCAGACGUGGCACAGUCCCUGUGCGGAGAGGAUCAUAUAAUCAAGGGCGUUUCGGUCCAUGUGUCGAAUGCUGCCCCAAAGGCCGAGCAGAACAGAAACCAGCAGGCCCAGAGCUACAACUACAACUCGGCCAACAGCUUUGGCAUGCACUCAUACCACCCGCAGGGUAACCACAUGAAUCCCGGCCGCAACGGACACCACAGAGGGCGGCAAUUUUUUAUCCUGGAUGGCUCAGAACGGGGGCCACAACAACGCCAACUUUGGUGGACGGAAGGGACCGAAUAACCCGAACAAUCCGGGCGCCAACGGAAUGAAGACCGACAACUCAGGCUGCAAUGACCCACAGAACGGGAACAGCGGUUGGUCGAACCAGAGCAGCGGAUCUCAAAACUCCGUGGAGAAGUCAAACUUUCUUUAAGGCGGUGCCUGCUAGAUGAGUUGGUACCAUUUAAUGUGGUUAACGAUAACCAAAACCUCUGUAGCUUACUUAAAUAUAUAUGUAUUCCACAUAUAAACAAGUUAAGAAUUGUAUUUAAUAUAUACUAGAUAUUUUGAUAAUUGUAAGCAAGAUGACACUGGAUGGCUAAUAACACAAUUUAUAGAAUACACUUCGAAAUAAAUUCUGCGCCAAAGCUCAGUAUAAAGUUGCUCGAAUGGUGUACUUUAAGUAG